rnacentral:rRNA from 1 species
AAGCGCUUGCAAUUAGACUUGCAUAUAGUUGAUCAUCCGAUGUUCUCACCGGUGCACUCAACUGUAUUCAGGCCAGCAUCAGUUUCAGUGGUUGGAUAAAGACCUUAGGAAUGUAGCUUCUUUCGGGGAGUGUUAUAGCUUAGGGUGCAAUGCGACCUACUGAGACUGAGGACAGCGCUUCGGCUAGGAUGCUGGCGUAAUGAUUGCAAGC